ACACAUGCAAGUCGAGGGGCAGCAUGGUCUUAGCUUGCUAAGGCCGAUGGCGACCGGCGCACGGGUGAGUAACACGUAUCCAACCUGCCGUCUACUCUUGGACAGCCUUCUGAAAGGAAGAUUAAUACAAGAUGGCAUCAUGAGUCCGCAUGUUCACAUGAUUAAAGGUAUUCCGGUAGACGAUGGGGAUGCGUUCCAUUAGAUAGUAGGCGGGGUAACGGCCCACCUAGUCUUCGAUGGAUAGGGGUUCUGAGAGGAAGGUCCCCCACAUUGGAACUGAGACACGGUCCAAACUCCUACGGGAGGCAGCAGUGAGGAAUAUUGGUCAAUGGGCGAGAGCCUGAACCAGCCAAGUAGCGUGAAGGAUGACUGCCCUAUGGGUUGUAAACUUCUUUUAUAAAGGAAUAAAGUCGGGUAUGGAUACCCGUUUGCAUGUACUUUAUGAAUAAGGAUCGGCUAACUCCGUGCCAGCAGCCGCGGUAAUACGGAGGAUCCGAGCGUUAUCCGGAUUUAUUGGGUUUAAAGGGAGCGUAGAUGGAUGUUUAAGUCAGUUGUGAAAGUUUGCGGCUCAACCGUAAAAUUGCAGUUGAUACUGGAUAUCUUGAGUGCAGUUGAGGCAGGCGGAAUUCGUGGUGUAGCGGUGAAAUGCUUAGAUAUCACGAAGAACUCCGAUUGCGAAGGCAGCCUGCCAAGCUGCAACUGACAUUG
rnacentral:rRNA from 1 species